UAGCUUAGUUGGUAGAGCGUAAGACUCUUAACCUUGUGGUUGUGGGUUUAAGCCCCAC
rnacentral:tRNA from 1 species